rnacentral:rRNA from 1 species
CCAAUAGCGUAUAUUAAAGUUGUUGCAGUUAAAAAGCUCGUAGUUGAAUUUCGGGGUUAGUAGGUUGGUCAUGCCUCUGGUAUGUACUGGUCUCACUGAUUCCUCCUUCCUUAUGAACCGUAAUGCCAUUAAUUUGGUGUUGCGGGGAAUUUGGACUGUUACUUUGAAAAAAUUAGAGUGUUUAAAGCAAGCUAACGCUUGAAUACAUUAGCAUGGAAUAAUGAAAUAGGACGUUCGAUCUUAUUUUGUUGGUUUCUAGGAUUGACGUAAUGAUUAAUAGGGAUAGUUGGGGGGAUUAGUAUUCAAUUGUCAGAGGUGAAAUUCUUGGAUUUAUUGAAGACUAACUACUGCGAAAGCAUUUGCCAAGGAUGUUUUCAUUAAUCAAGAACGAAAGUUAGGGGAUCGAAGACGAUCAGAUACCGUCGUAGUCUUAACCAUAAACUAUGCCGACUAGGGAUCGGAUGAUGUUAAUUUUUUAAUGACUCAUUCGGCGCCUUACG